GAUGAACGCUGGCGGCGUGCCUAAUACAUGCAAGUCAAGCGAACAGACGAGGAGCUUGCUCCUCUGACGUUAGCGGCGGACGGGUGAGUAACACGUGGAUAACCUACCUAUAAGACUGGGAUAACUUCGGGAAACCGGAGCUAAUACCGGAUAAUAUAUUGAACCGCAUGGUUCAAUAGUGAAAGACGGUUUUGCUGUCACUUAUAGAUGGAUCCGCGCCGCAUUAGCUAGUUGGUAAGGUAACGGCUUACCAAGGCGACGAUGCGUAGCCGACCUGAGAGGGUGAUCGGCCACACUGGAACUGAGACACGGUCCAGACUCCUACGGGAGGCAGCAGUAGGGAAUCUUCCGCAAUGGGCGAAAGCCUGACGGAGCAACACCGCGUGAGUGAUGAAGGUCUUCGGAUCGUAAAACUCUGUUAUUAGGGAAGAACAAAUGUGUAAGUAACUAUGCACGUCUUGACGGUACCUAAUCAGAAAGCCACGGCUAACUACGUG
rnacentral:rRNA from 1 species